CUCCUUUCGAGUAAAUAAAAGGUAAGGUCUGCUCAGUGCAAAAGUAAACAGCUGCGGUACUCGACUGUGCUAAGGUAGCAUAAUAAAUUGGCUCUUAAUUGGAGUCUUGAAUGAACGAUCUAAUGAGACUGAGUCUGUCUCUUAUGAAAGAAUAGAAAUUGAAUUCCCCGUAAAAAUGCGUGGAUAUCUGAGAGGGACGAAAAGACCCUGUAGAUCUUUAUUACAUGGGAUAACUGGAAAUGUCUCAAAGUAAUUUAUUUGGGAUGAAACAAGAAAACAAAAGUGAACGUCUGUGAGAAGUAAAGAAACACAGCUCUACUAAUGACCCCUACUAAAGGAUAAUUGGAAUAAGUUACCUCAGGGAUAACAGGAUAAUUCUCUUUGACAGGUCUUAUGUUAAAUGGAGAUUAUUACCUCGAUGUUGAAUUAAGUUUCCUCUACGUGGAGAAAAGUAGUAUUAGGUUGGUCUGUUCGACCAGUAUAAACU
rnacentral:rRNA from 1 species